rnacentral:rRNA from 1 species
AUUGAACGCUGGCGGCAUGCCUUACACAUGCAAGUCGAACGGCAGCACGGGAGCAAUCCUGGUGGCGAGUGACGAACGGGUGAGUAAUGUAUCGGAACGUACCUUUCAGUGGGGGAUAACGUAGCGAAAGUUACGCUAAUACCGCAUAUUCUGUGAGCAGGAAAGCAGGGGAUCGCAAGACCUUGCGCUGAUUGAGCGGCCGAUAUCAGAUUAGCUAGUUGGUGAGGUAAAGGCUCACCAAGGCGACGAUCUGUAGCGGGUCUGAGAGGAUGAUCCGCCACACUGGAACUGAGACACGGUCCAGACUCCUACGGGAGGCAGCAGUGGGGAAUUUUGGACAAGUGGGCGCAAGCCUGAUCCAGCCAUGCCGCGUGAGUGAAGAAGGCCU